AUUGAACGCUGGCGGAAUGCUUUACACACGCAAGUCGAACGGCAGCACGGACUUCGGUCCGGUGGCGAGUGGCGAACGGGUGAGUAAUGUAUCGGAACGUGCCCAGUCGUGGGGGAUAACGUAGUGAAAAUUACGCUAAUACCGCAUACGAUCUAUGGAUGAAAGCGGGGGAUCGCAAGACCUCGCGCGAUUGGCGCGGCCGAUAUCAGAUUAGGUAGUUGGUGGGGUAAAGGCCCACCAAGCCAACGAUCUGUAGCUGGUCUGAGAGGACGACCAGCCACACUGGAACUGAGACACGGUCCAGACUCCUACGGGAGGCAGCAGUGGGGAAUUUUGGACAAUGGGCGAAAGCAUGAUCCAGCCAUUCCGCGUGCAGGAUGAAGGCCCUCGGGUUGUAAACUGCUUUUGUACAGAACGAAAAGGUUUCUACUAAUACUAGGAGCUCAUGACGGUACUGUAAGAAUAAGCACCGGCUAACUACGUGCCAGCCGCCGCCGUAA
rnacentral:rRNA from 1 species